rnacentral:rRNA from 3 species
UUGCAAAGCACUCUGAAAAGAGGGUGAAAAGAACCUGAAACCGUUAUGUUGAGAGCGUAUUGCAGCAGAGUGAAGGGUGCGUUUUGUUCAGCUUGCGCUUGCGUAGGUGUACUCAGAACGUUAUCCGCCAGUCGUGAGCUUCCGGUGGCUGAUUCAUCAGUUGCUGGGGGUGGAGGGCUCCCUUAGGGUGAGGACGAAUCUGGAUAAUGCUGCGAUUCGACCCGUCUUGAAACACGGACCAAGAAGUCUAGCGUACAUGCGAGUCAAAGGGUGUAAAAACCUGAGGGCGCAGUGAAAGCGAACUUUAAAACGUUGCAGUUUGAGGCGGCAUACGAUCGUUGAUUGUAGGUCCGACCUAGAGCAUGUAUGCUAGGACCCGAAAGAUGGUGAACUAUGCUUGAGUAGGGUGAAGCCAGGAGAAAUCCUGGUGGAAGCUCGUAGCGGUGCUGACGUGCAAAUCGCUCGUCUAACUUGAGUAUAGGGGCGAAAGACUAAUCGAACCAUCUGGUAGCUGGUUUCCUCCGAAGUUUCUCUCAGGAUAGCGGACCGAUAUGAUGUUGUUAUGUGC